rnacentral:rRNA from 1 species
CCUACGGGAGGCAGCAGUGGGGAAUAUUGCACAAUGGGGGAAACCCUGAUGCAGCGACGCCGCGUGAGUGAAGAAGUAUUUCGGUAUGUAACGCUCUAUCAGCAGGGAAGAAAAUGACGGUACCUGAUUAAGAAGCCCCGGCUAACUACGUGCCAGCAGCCGCGGUAAUACGUAGGGGGCAAGCGUUAUCCGGAUUUACUGGGUGUAAAGGGGGCGUAGACGGCAGCACAAGUCUGGAGUGAAAUGCCGGGGCUUAACCCCGGAACUGCUUUGGAAACUGUGCAUCUAGAGUGCAGGAGAGGUAAGUGGAAUUCCUAGUGUAGCGGUGAAAUGCGUAGAUAUUAGGAGGAACACCAGUGGCGAAGGCGGCUUACUGGACUGUAACUGACGUUGAGGCUCGAAAGCGUGGGGAGCAAACAGGAUUAGAUACCCCUGUAGUC